CAGCAGCCGCGGGAAUACAGAGGGUGCGAGCGUUAAUCGGAUUUACUGGGCGUAAAGCGUGCGUAGGCGGCUUCUUAAGUCGGAUGUGAAAUCCCUGAGCUUAACUUAGGAAUUGCAUUCGAUACUGGGAAGCUAGAGUAUGGGAGAGGAUGGUAGAAUUCCAGGUGUAGCGGUGAAAUGCGUAGAGAUCUGGAAGAAUACCGAUGGCGAAGGCAGCCAUCUGGCCUAAUACUGACGCUGAGGUACGAAAGCAUGGGGAGCAAACAGGAUUAGAUACCCCAGUAGUCCCUGUCUCUUAUAC
rnacentral:rRNA from 1 species